GAUUAUGGCUCAGGAUGAACGCUAGCGACAGGCUUAACACAUGCAAGUCGAGGGGCAGCACGGGAGUAGCAAUACUUGGUGGCGACCGGCGCACGGGUGAGUAACGCGUAUGCAACCUACCUAUCAGAGGGGAAUAACCCGGCGAAAGUCGGACUAAUACCGCAUAAAACAGGGGCACCGCAUGGUGAUAUUUGUUAAAGAAAUUCGCUGAUAGAUGGGCAUGCGUUCCAUUAGGUAGUUGGUGAGGUAACGGCUCACCAAGCCGACGAUGGAUAGGGGAACUGAGAGGUUGGUCCCCCACACUGGUACUGAGACACGGACCAGACUCCUACGGGAGGCAGCAGUGAGGAAUAUUGGUCAAUGGGCGGGAGCCUGAACCAGCCAAGUCGCGUGAAGGAAGAAGGAUCUAUGGUUCGUAAACUUCUUUUGCAGGGGAAUAAAGUGCAGGACGUGUCCUGUUUUGUAUGUACCCUGAGAAUAAGGAUCGGCUAACUCCGUGCCAGCCGCCGC
rnacentral:rRNA from 1 species